rnacentral:ncRNA from 2 species
AAGAGGGAACCCGGUGAGACCCCGGGACUGCCCCGCAGCGGUAUUCGGGAACGACCGCCGUCAACAGCACUGGGUGCAGCCAGCACCCGGGAAGCGACGGCCAGUAGGCACCCGUCCGGCACCUGCCGGACGCCUCGGUGACGAGGACGCCCGUGAGUCCGAAGACCU